rnacentral:rRNA from 1 species
GUUGACCUCGGAUCAGGUAGGGAUACCCGCUGAACUUAAGCAUAUCAAUAAGCGGAGGAAAAGAAACCAACAGGGAUUGCCUCAGUAACGGCGAGUGAAGCGGCAACAGCUCAAAUUUGAAAUCUGGCGCAAGCCCGAGUUGUAAUUUGUAGAGGAUGCUUCAGGGCAGCGGCCGGUCUAAGUUCCUUGGAACAGGACGUCAUAGAGGGUGAGAAUCCCGUAUGCGACCGGUUGGCACCCGUCACGUAGCUCCUUCGACGAGUCGAGUUGUUUGGGAAUGCAGCUCUAAAUGGGUGGUAAAUUCCAUCUAAAGCUAAAUACCGGCCAGAGACCGAUAGCGCACAAGUAGAGUGAUCGAAAGAUGAAAAGCACUUUGGAAAGAGAGUUAAAAAGCACGUGAAAUUGUUGAAAGGGAAGCGCAUGCAACCAGACUUGUCGGCGGCGUUCCGCCGGUCUUCUGACCGGUCCACUCGCCGCCGGCAGGCCAGCAUCAUCUGGGCGCGCCGGACAAAGGCGCGGGGAAUGUAGCUCCUCGGAGUGUUAUAGCCCCGCGCACAAUACGGCGCCGCCCGGGUGAGGUCCGCGCUCCGGCUAGGAUGCUGGCGUAAUGGUUGUAUGCGGCCCGUCUUGAAACACGGACCAAGGAGUCUAACAUCUAUGCGAGUGUUCGGGUGUCAAACCCCUGCGCGGAAUGAAAGUGAACGGAGGUGGGAAGCGCAAGCUGCACCAUCGACCGAUCCUGAUGUCUUCGGAUGGAUUCGAGUAAGAGCAUAGCUGUUGGGACCCGAAAGAUGGUGAACUAAACUUGGCCAGAGCGAAGCCAGAGGAAACUCUGGUGGAGGCUCGCAGCGGUUCUGACGUGCAAAUCGAUCGUCAAAGCUGGGUUUAGGGGCGAAAGACUAAUCGAACCAU